GGAGGAAUACCCAAGUGGUUGAAGGGGUCGGUUUCGAAAACCGAUAGAUGGCGCAAGCUAUGCAGGGGUUCAAAUCCCUUUUCCUCCGCCA
rnacentral:tRNA from 1 species